rnacentral:rRNA from 1 species
UACGUAGGCAGCGAGCGUUGUUCGGAGUUACUGGGCGUAAAGAGUGCGUAGGCGGUUUUCUAAGUUUGGUGUGAAAUCUCCCGGCUCAACUGGGAGGGUGCGCCGAAGACUGGAAGGCUAGAGUAUGGGAGAGGUAAGCGGAAUUCCUGGUGUAGCGGUGAAAUGCGUAGAUAUCAGGAGGAACACCUGCGGUGUAGACGGCUUACUGGACCAUAACUGACGCUGAGGCACGAAAGCGUGGGUAGCAAACAGG